GUGGGGAAUAUUGGACAAUGGGCGAAAGCCUGAUCCAGCCAUGCCGCGUGUGUGAAGAAGGUCUUCGGAUUGUAAAGCACUUUAAGUUGGGAGGAAGGGCAGUAAGUUAAUACCUUGCUGUUUUGACGUUACCGACAGAAUAAGCACCGGCUAACUUCGUGCCAGCAGCCGCGGUAAUACGAAGGGUGCAAGCGUUAAUCGGAAUUACUGAGCGUAAAGCGCGCGUAGGUGGUUUUGUAAGUUGGAGGUGAAAUCCCCGGGCUCAACCUGGGAACUGCCUACAAAACUGCAUGACUAGAGUACGGUAGAGGGUAGUGGAAUUUCCUGUGUAGCGGUGAAAUGCGUAGAUAUAGGAAGGAACACCAGUGGCGAAGGCGACUACCUGGACUGAUACUGACACUGAGGUGCGAAAGCGUGGGGAGCAAACAGGAUUAGAUACCCCGGUAGUCC
rnacentral:rRNA from 1 species